UGAAGGUGGAGGUGGACGCCAUAGCUUGCAAGAGACUUCCCCUUGAGGUGUCAUUUUGGCUUCAGCAGUUUGCUCGAGGGCUUCGAUGGACCCUUUCGGCGAUCUCUCUUCAGCUCUCCACAAGAAAUUCACCUUCAAGAAGUAUGGGUUUUAGGUGAGGAAUUCUUCAGUCAAUGGCGUACAUGGGAAAGCCAGGCAAUUUUCUUCUGCUCCUGCUCCAACUUGUUUCAUCUUUCUUCUUACUUGCUUUUGUUAAGAGAUAAAGGUCAGAAAGAAAUUAAUGUUACAGAGCAAUAUCUAUAUAUGAUCCUGCCCAUAGGAGAUUAAAGACAGACGGAAAGAAAUGUAACAAGAUUUGACUGGUUUCCUUUGUCUCUCUUUGAUCUUUUGUUUCCUUCUGGCUAUGCGUCGUAGUUGGUGGAGUUGCAAG
rnacentral:lncRNA from 1 species